GCAUGGCAAUUCUUUGCUAAGAAGAAGGAUGCACUUACGUCAUGGGGACCGGAUUAUCCUUUUAGCUCCACACCAACUGGAGCUCCAUUAGGAUCUAGCUCUGGGGACCGAUCAAUUGUUGAUUCUUCUUCAAGAAGAGAUGAACUAGUGGACUUAAGGGCGGGUGGUUUGAGAGGUCCAUCAAGGAGGUAUGUUUCACCUUCACGAUAUCCCGGGGGAACAACCACCUCCUUUACGCCGAGCUCUGCUGAUACCACCUCCAGAUCUACUUCUGUUGAUCCUAAUUAUAAAACUUCGUCGGAGCUAAAAUAUAGGGGUCCAACCCUGGAGUCUACAGGUUUUCCUAAAAGAAGAGAGAAUCUAUUUGUAAGCAAUGAAGUUGUGGAUGAUAGCAGUUGAGUUGUA
rnacentral:misc_RNA from 1 species